GUGUAUUUGACUAUUAAGGAGGUAACAGGUAACGGAAAAUUGGAGUUUGAUUCCGGAUAGUCAGCCUGAGAAACGGCUGACAUUUCCACGGAAGGCAGCAGGCGUGAAAAUUACCCAAUCACAAUUCGUGGAGGUAGUUAAUAGACAUAACAGUCCCGGCCUUUUAGGUUUGGGAAUGUAAUGAACUCAGUCUAGACAGCUGGGUGAAAUCCAUUGGAGGGCAAGUCUGGUGCCAGCAGCCGCGGUAAUUCCAGCUCCAAUAGCUUUGUUGAAAGUUGCUGCAGUUAAAAAGCUCGUAGUUGAAUGUCCGGCGUCUCUGACGUCUGCCCGAAUCGACUUUAGAUGCCGAAAGGUUUUUACUGCUCGAUCUGGCGUUUACUGUGAACAAAUUAGCGUGCUCAAGACAGGCUUUUGCUUGAAUUUUCUAGCAUGGAAUAAUGAAAUACGACUUCGCUCAUUUUAUUGGUUAUUGGACGAAGUAAUGGUUAACAGGAACAGUUGGGGGCAUUCGUACUUAAGAGUCAGAGGUGAAAUUCUUAGAUUUCUUAAAGACGAACUAAUGCGAAGGCAUUUGCCAAGGAUGUUUUCAUUAAUCAAGAACGAAAGCGUUGGGAUCAAAAAGGAUCAGAUACCCUUGUAGUCAACGCCGUAAACGAUACUGACUAGGGAUUGGUGAGGCUAACCCUCAUCAGCACCUAAUGAGAAAUCAAAGUCUUUGAGUUCUGGGGAGAGUUAACGUAUUCAGCCGAAUACUGGAGGCUCCAGAGCGUUUGAUUUCCUAAAUUCCUCCUAGACCAGCUCUAAAAAGUCGGGCAGCAAUGCCUGGCUAGUCGGGAAACCGGCAACACUGUCAAAUUGCGGGAAACUUGUAAAACCACGACAACCGCGGCUUUCUGAAAGGGAAGUGCAGCAGCAGGCGUAAUGGCCUGUGGACGGUAACAUCGUCGGGGGUAAAUCGACUAUCCGCAGCCAAGUCCUACAGCGCAAGCCAGGGAUGCAGUUCAGAGACUAAACGGCAGUGGGCUCACGCCUAAGAUAUAGUCCGAUCUCUGCAUAAAUGCAGAGUAGAUCAUUACAAUAUGAAUUAUUUUUCAUAUUGUAAAUUACUCAAACGAAAAUGAUGGUCGCAAGGCUGAAACUUAAAGGAAUUGACGGAAAGAUACACAAGUCGUGGAUUCUGCGGCUUAAUUUGAUUUAACACGGGAAAACUUACGCAGGCAAAAAGCUAAAAGGAUUGACAGCUUGAUAGCACUUUCUUGAUAUGGCAGCGA
rnacentral:rRNA from 1 species